rnacentral:precursor_RNA from 8 species
UAGUAACAGUUGCUAGGGAAGCUUGCGAAUCUUGUGAUCUUUCGAGGGUUGUAGUUGACGUGUUUUGGUUUUAUAACUCAGUAAGAUCACAGGCCUUGCAUUUUUCUCGGUCUUCAAUUAGUCGC